CUACGGGCGGCAGCAGUGGGGAAUAUUGGACAAUGGGGGAAACCCUGAUCCAGCAAUGCCGCGUGUGUGAAGAAGGCCUGCGGGUUGUAAAGCACUUUCGGUUGGGAGGACUGCUUCUAGCACUAAUAUUGUUGGAAGUUGACGUUACCUUCAGAAGAAGCACCGGCUAACUCCGUGCCAGCAGCCGCGGUAAUACGGAGGGUGCAAGCGUAAUCGGAAUUACUGGGCGUAAAGCGCGCGUAGGCGGCUAGAUCAGUCGGGUGUGAAAGCCCCGGGCUUAACCUGGGAACUGCAUCCGAUACUGUCUAGCUUGAGUACAGGAGAGGAGAGUGGAAUUCCACAUGUAGCGGUGAAAUGCGUAGAUAUGUGGAGGAACACCAAUGGCGAAGGCAGCUCUCUGGCCUGAUACUGAUGCUGAGGUGCGAAAGCGUGGGGAGCAAACAGGAUUAGAUACCCCGGUAGUC
rnacentral:rRNA from 1 species